CCUACGGGAGGCAGCAGUGAGGAAUAUUGGUCAAUGGACGAGAGUCUGAACCAGCCAAGUAGCGUGAAGGAUGACUGCCCUAUGGGUUGUAAACUUCUUUUAUAUGGGAAUAAAACGUUCCACGUGUGGAAUUCUGUAUGUACCAUAUGAAUAAGGACCGGCUAACUCCGUGCCAGCAGCCGCGGUAAUACGGAGGAUCCGAGCGUUAUCCGGAUUUAUUGGGUUUAAAGGGAGCGUAGGGGGGUUGUUAAGUCAGUUGUGAAAGUUUGCGGCUCAACCGUAACAUUGCAGUUGAAACUGGCAGUCUUGAGUACACUAGAGGUGGGCGGAAUUCGUGGUGUAGCGGUGAAAUGCUUAGAUAUCACGAGGAACUCCGAUUGCGAAGGCAGCUCGCUGGACUGCAACUGACGCUGAGGCUCGAAAGUGUGGGUAUCAAACAGGAUUAGAUACCCCUGUAGUC
rnacentral:rRNA from 1 species